rnacentral:rRNA from 1 species
AACGAACGCUGGCGGCAUGCCUAACACAUGCAAGUCGAACGAGACCUUCGGGUCUAGUGGCGCACGGGUGCGUAACGCGUGGGAAUCUGCCCUUGGGUUCGGAAUAACAGUUGGAAACGACUGCUAAUACCGGAUGAUGACGUAAGUCCAAAGAUUUAUCGCCCAAGGAUGAGCCCGCGUAGGAUUAGCUAGUUGGUGAGGUAAAGGCUCACCAAGGCGACGAUCCUUAGCUGGUCUGAGAGGAUGAUCAGCCACACUGGGACUGAGACACGGCCCAGACUCCUACGGGAGGCAGAAGUGGGGAAUAUUGGACAAUGGGCGAAAGCCUGAUCCAGCAAUGCCGCGUGAGUGAUGAAGGCCUUAGGGUUGUAAAGCUCUUUUACCCGGGAUGAUAAUGACAGUACCGGGAGAAUAAGCUCCGGCUAACUCCGUG